rnacentral:rRNA from 1 species
CGCGUGAGGAACCUGCCUUUCAGAGGGGGACAACAGUUGGAAACGACUGCUAAUACCGCAUAACGCAUGGGUAUCGCAUGGUAUCUGUGCCAAAGAUUUAUCGCUGAGAGAUGGCCUCGCGUCUGAUUAGCUAGUUGGUGAGGUAACGGCCCACCAAGGCGACGAUCAGUAGCCGGACUGAGAGGUUGGCCGGCCACAUUGGGACUGAGAUACGGCCCAGACUCCUACGGAAGGCAGCAG